rnacentral:lncRNA from 1 species
GUUUGUUGAAAGAUAAAGGAUCCCAAUAACAUAGUAAAGCAAGGAAAGAGAAGGGAGUGGUAGAAUUAUGAUAUAAUUCAUUUCUCUACCAUACACUUUAUGUGUACAUAGCCGACCCCACUUAGUGGGAAAAGGCUUUGUUGUUGUUGUUGUUGUACACUUUAUGUGUACAAAGUAAUGAAUUACAAGUCCAAAAGUCAUAAUCGUACUGUGGAGAAUACAUACUUAGACUACUUAGAAUAAUUUAUAAGGUUGGAGCGAGGGAAUCCAAGUUGUUUUAAUGAUUUGCUCCUCAUUGUCAUCAACCGCAAAAUGUUUAAGAUAUGGAUUUUCAACUACCUCUGACAUGAUUAAAUAUUUCAAAACAG